UACGUAGGGUGCAAGCGUUAAUCGGAAUUACUGGGCGUAAAGCGUGCGCAGGCGGUGAUGUAAGACAGAUGUGAAAUCCCCGGGCUCAACCUGGGAACUGCAUUUGUGACUGCAUCGCUGGAGUGCGGCAGAGGGGGAUGGAAUUCCGCGUGUAGCAGUGAAAUGCGUAGAUAUGCGGAGGAACACCGAUGGCGAAGGCAAUCCCCCUGGGCCUGCACUGACGCUCAUGCACGAAGCGUGGGGAGC
rnacentral:rRNA from 1 species